rnacentral:rRNA from 1 species
GACGUAGGGCGCGAGCGUUGUCCGGAUUUAUUGGGCGUAAAGAGCUCGUAGGCGGCUCGUUGCGUCGGCUGUGAAAACCCGCAGCUCAACUGUGGGCUUGCAGCCGAUACGGGCGGGCUAGGAUUCGGUAGGGGAGACUGGAAUUCCUGGUGUAGCGGUGAAAUGCGCAGAUAUCAGGAAGAACACCCGUGGCGAAGGCGGUUCUCUGGGACGGUACUGACGCUGAGACGCGAAAGCGUGGGGAGCGAACAGG